GGUUAGCUACUUCUGUUGGUAGAACAUGAGACUCUUAAUCUCAGGGGUGUGGAUUCGAGCCCCACAUUGGGCA
rnacentral:tRNA from 1 species